UAUUGCGAAUAAAAUAAUACGUGUACAUACAUAUGUACAUAAGUGUUCACGUACAUAUUUAUUAUACUAAAUGUAAAAUUUGUAUCCAUUAUUCCUCAAUACGAAGUGGUUAUGGUGAACAUUUAAUUUCAGAUCCCAAAGUAUUAUGUAAAUAUGUAAUACAUAGAUUUCAAUUUGUUAGGAAAUUAAUAUUUUUCUUCGCUUCAGACACAUUUCGUUUGAAUAAGAUACGUUUCUGAGAGCAGACGUCUACAGAUGUACAUAUUUACAUUCCGUCCUGACGUAUGUUGUCAAAUCCGGAUUACAUUAUUUUGUGCAAAUUCACUCAUCAAAAUGCUUAAGGAAUAUUUAAUAGGGUAAGGACUUAUUAUUUACAUUUCAUUAGGCGGAAAAUUUAUAAAUAAUUCAACGUAUUCUUAUUAUAUGUAUAUGUAAAUGUAAAUUAUGAAUUCACAUGUCUUAUUCUCUUGAUUACUUCGGUAAAGUUGUAUACAGUUCCCUGUUGUGUUAUUCAAGGUUAGACAGCAAUUCGUAUAGUCGUAUUUUAUAAAGUGUUCAAGUGUCAUUUUAUAAAGUAUUGUCAGAUCGAAAAAUCAAAACGUGUUCAAUUAAUUAUGAUAAUUAUUUAAGUUGCCAAUUACAGAUAUUAUGCAUAAUUAA